GGGGAGAGGGAAAUCGUCUUUCAAACUAGCUUUAUUAAGAUCCCGGUAGUCAACGCACACCCUGACUCUCCCGUCCUUCUUCAUUACCGGGACAACGUUAGCUAUCCAUUGGGGAUAUUUGACUACUUCUAUGAACCCAGCGUCGUACUGUUUCUUGACCUCAUCCCUAACUUUGAGCAGUGUGUCAGGAUUCAUUCUUCUUAGCUUCUGCUUUACCGGGAUUGUCCCUGGAAUUAGGGGAAUUUUGUGCGC
rnacentral:misc_RNA from 1 species